UACAGAGGUCCCAAGCGUUGUUCGGAUUCAUUGGGCGUAAAGGGCGCGUAGGUGGCCUUCUAAGUCGAACGUGAAAUCCCUGGGCUCAACCCAGGAACUGCGUCCGAGACUGGGAGGCUUGAAUCCGGGAGAGGGAUGCGGAAUUCCAGGUGUAGCGGUGAAAUUCGUAGAUAUCAAGCGGAACACCGGUGGCGAAGGCGGCCUUCUGGACAGUGACUGACGCUGAGACGCGAAAGCGUGGGGAGCAAACAGG
rnacentral:rRNA from 1 species